UAGGUUGAUGCACAAAUAAUUGCUGUUUUUGCUGUUACUUUCAAUAGCAAAAACUGCAGUUACUUUUACACCAACCUAAUAC
rnacentral:miRNA from 1 species